rnacentral:lncRNA from 10 species
UUUUUCUAUUUUCUAAUUUUUAUUUUUUUGAGAUGGAGUCUUGCUGUGUCACCCAGGCUGGAGUGCAAUGGCGCAAUCUCGACUCACGGCCCAGGUUCAAGCGAUUCUCCUGCCUCAACCUCCCGAGUAGCUGGGAUUACAGGCGCCUGCCAUCACACCUAGCUAAUUUUUGUAUUUUUAGUAGAGACCAUGUUGGCCAGGCUGGUCUCGAACUCUUGACCUCAGGUAAUCUACCCACCUUGGCCUCCCAAAGUGUUGGGAUUACAGGCAUGAGCCACCUCGCCUGGCCUCUUUUUAAAUUUUUUUUUUGAGAUGGGGUCUCACUCUGUCACCUAGGCUGCAGUGCAACUGAGUGAUCAAGGCUCACUACAGCCUUCACCUCCUGGGCUCAAAUGAUUCUCCCACCUCAGCCUCCCGAGUGGCUGGGACUAUAGGCAUGCACCACCACAGCUGGCUAAUUUUUUUUGUUGUUGUUGUUGACGAAGCUGGUCUUGAAUUCCUGGGCUCAAACGAUCCUCCCGCCUUGGCCUCCUGAAGUGCUGGGAUUACAGGUGAGAUAAUUUUCAACAUAUGUGUCUCAAGAAUUUUAAUAAUUGGGCUGCAUAUUAUUUUGUGUGUAAA